ensembl:lncRNA
AAGCUUUGCGCACGCGCUGCUUUGCUGCAUACCUGACAGCUGUCAAAGAAGGCAAGAAAACAUAGAUUGAUUAUGUAAUAAUUUUUAUUUUUCGUUUCUUUCUCCUCCCUUUUUUCUGUCUGUAAUGCUAAAAUCAAGCCUUUGGAAGCCAUCUCCCAUGAAUCCUCUCCAGAUCCAAUGACAGGAACACCCAAAGAUGAAAGUGGCCAAGAGACAUUUGAGACACCAAGAGAAAUCAACCGAAUUGACCAAAGUCUUGAACCAGAGAACCUCAAUAACUUGGAGAAACUUGAAGCUCAAGAGCAAAUAAAUGAGGACAUAAAUGAAGAUGAGAUACUGUACUUCUUCAGCCUCGGAGGAACCUCAACUUCAUCAAAUCAAUCAAAAUACAGACCCAAACAAGGAAGUAGUUGUUCAACUUGAACAUGAAGAAGACAAACCAGCAGAAGAACCAUAUGUUAUAAUGUCAAGAUCUAUUCAAGUUUUUGAUGAUAAAAUUCCAGUGGGUUCUGUAUCGUGCCAAGAGAAGGAAGCAAAGACAGUCGUUAACUCUGAGGAAGAGUUGACAAAUCUGGAGAUCGAUGAAAACCUGGAAAGGAACAUUAGAUCAGCUGUACCUACUUUUGAUUCUGUAUGUUCUAUGGCUAGUUUUCAUAUUCACGUCACAGAGGAGAUCCUGCAGAAGAGUGCUGAUAUUCUGUGCCAGACAGGAACAGUGACUUCGACAGACACCCAGGAGACAGUCCGGAUAAUUGCACUUCUUAAGACAGCACACAGGAAUCGAUGGACUACAAUUAAGCUUCUGUUGGAGAGAGGAGCAGACCCGAACGCCUCUACCAUCCCAUGCCCAUCAUUUUCCUGGCUAUCAAAGCUGCCCAUGUCAAGGGCGUCCGUCUUCUAUUGGAGUGUGCAGCUCGUACAAACAUACCUCUACUCUACUUCCAGAGUGUCCCCGUCACUACACUGGGGCGUUAGGACCCACACAGACCACAGGGUGAGCACCCCC